rnacentral:pre_miRNA from 11 species
CAUAUCUGUCUGUGUCAUUCUUGUGGUUUGCAACUAGUAGUCUGGCUCCAGUUGCAUAGUCACAAAAAUGAUCAUGGACUGAUGUG